rnacentral:rRNA from 1 species
GUCUAUGACCAUACCACCCUGAACGUGCCCGAUCUCAUCUGAUCUCGGAAGCUAAGCAGGGUCGGGCCUGGUUAGUACUUGGAUGGGAGAAAAUUUACUGUUCAAAAGAACAAGGAGAAUUUGUGAUCAAAUGCA